GACACGACUCUCGGCAACGGAUAUCUCGGCUCUCGCAUCGGUGAAGAACGUAGCGAAAUGCGAUACCUGGUGUGAAUUGCAGAAUCCCGCGAACCAUCGAGUCUUUGAACGCAAGUUGCGCCCGAGGCCACCCGGUCGAGGGCACGCCUGCCUGGGCGUCACGC
rnacentral:rRNA from 1 species